rnacentral:rRNA from 1 species
UACAGAGGUCUCAAGCGUUGUUCGGAUUCAUUGGGCGUAAAGGGUGCGUAGGUGGCGGGGUAAGUCAGGUGUGAAAUUUCGGAGCUUAACUCCGAAACUGCAUUUGAUACUGCCUUGCUUGAGGACUGGAGAGGAGACUGGAAUUCACGGUGUAGCAGUGAAAUGCGUAGAUAUCGUGAGGAAGACCAGUGGCGAAGGCGGGUCUCUGGACAGUUCCUGACACUGAGGCAGCGAAGGCCAGGGAGCAAACGGG